rnacentral:lncRNA from 1 species
ACUGGCUAGAUGGGAAGUACUGUACUGUACUGGCUAGACGGGAGGUACAGUACUGGCUAGAUGGGAGGUACAGUACUGGCUAGAUGGGAGGUACAGUACUGGCUGGAUGUGAGGUACAGUACUGGUUUAAUGGGAGGUACUGUAUUGGCUAGAAAAGGUACUGUAUUGGCUAGAUGAGGUACUGUACUGGUUAGAAGGGAGGUACAGUACUGGCUUGGUGGGAGGUACAGUACUGGCUGGAUGGGAGGUACAGUACUGGCUAGAUGAGGUACAGUACUGGCUAGAAGGGAGGUACAGUUCAGUACUGGUUAGAAGGGAGGUACUGUAUUGGUGGGAGGUACAGUACUGGUUAGAAGGGAGGUACAGUACUGGCUAGAAUGGAGGUACAGUACUGGCUUGGUGGGAGGUACAGUAUUGUACUGGGUGGAUGGGAAUAUGUAAACCCAGCCAACAUAUCUGGGUUAGUAUUCUGUAUGUGAAAUUGAGACAUCCAGGCCCGCUAGCCAAAACUCAACGGUGUGUGACUGACAGCUACAUGAACAUUAACUAUGUUACUCUUAUAAUGACCAUUUGG